rfam:Glycine soja cultivar W05 scaffold198_40, whole genome shotgun sequence.
CUGUCUCCUGCAGUUCCUCUGAACGCUUCAUGUGAGGGGCUAGCAAGUGUAUACGUUAUAAUUUAGCCUUCUUCAAUGAAGUGUUUGGGGGAACUCUUGGGCUCAA